rnacentral:rRNA from 1 species
AGAUUAAGUUAUUAAGGGCGCACGGUGGAUGCCUUGGCACUAGAAGCCGAUGAAGGACGUUACUAACGACGAUAUGCUUUGGGGAGCUGUAAGUAAGCUUUGAUCCAGAGAUUUCCGAAUGGGGAAACCCAGCAUGAGUUAUGUCAUGUUAUCGAUAUGUGAAUACAUAGCAUAUCAGAAGGCACACCCGGAGAACUGAAACAUCUUAGUACCCGGAGGAAGAGAAAGAAAAUUCGAUUCCCUUAGUAGCGGCGAGCGAAACGGGAAGAGCCCAAACCAACAAGCUUGCUUGUUGGGGUUGUAGGACACUCUAUACGGAGUUACAAAGGACGACAUUAGACGAAUCAUCUGGAAAGAUGAAUCAAAGAAGGUAAUAAUCCUGUAGUCGAAAAUGUUGUCUCUCUUGAGUGGAUCCUGAGUACGACGGAGCACGUGAAAUUCCGUCGGAAUCUGGGAGGACCAUCUCCUAAGGCUAAAUACUCUCUAGUGACCGAUAGUGAACCAGUACCGUGAGGGAAAGGUGAAAAGCACCCCGGAAGGGGAGUGAAAUAGAACCUGAAACCGUGUGCUUACAAGUAGUCAGAGCCCGUUAAUGGGUGAUGGCGUGCCUUUUGUAGAAUGAACCGGCGAGUUACGAUUUGAUGCAAGGUUAAGCAGUAAAUGUGGAGCCGUAGCGAAAGCGAGUCUGAAUAGGGCGUUUAGUAUUUGGUCGUAGACCCGAAACCAGGUGAUCUACCCUUGGUCAGGUUGAAGUUCAGGUAACACUGAAUGGAGGACCGAACCGACUUACGUUGAAAAGUGAGCGGAUGAACUGAGGGUAGCGGAGAAAUUCCAAUCGAACCUGGAGAUAGCUGGUUCUCUCCGAAAUAGCUUUAGGGCUAGCCUCAAGUGAUGAUUAUUGGAGGUAGAGCACUGUUUGGACGAGGGGCCCCUCUCGGGUUACCGAAUUCAGACAAACUCCGAAUGCCAAUUAAUUUAACUUGGGAGUCAGAACAUGGGUGAUAAGGUCCGUGUUCGAAAGGGAAACAGCCCAGACCACCAGCUAAGGUCCCAAAAUAUAUGUUAAGUGGAAAAGGAUGUGGCGUUGCCCAGACAACUAGGAUGUUGGCUUAGAAGCAGCCAUCAUUUAAAGAGUGCGUAAUAGCUCACUAGUCGAGUGACACUGCGCCGAAAAUGUACCGGGGCUAAACAUAUUACCGAAGCUGUGGAUUGUCCUUUGGACAAUGGUAGGAGAGCGUUCUAAGGGCGUUGAAGCAUGAUCGUAAGGACAUGUGGAGCGCUUAGAAGUGAGAAUGCCGGUGUGAGUAGCGAAAGACGGGUGAGAAUCCCGUCCACCGAUUGACUAAGGUUUCCAGAGGAAGGCUCGUCCGCUCUGGGUUAGUCGGGUCCUAAGCUGAGGCCGACAGGCGUAGGCGAUGGAUAACAGGUUGAUAUUCCUGUACCACCUAUAAUCGUUUUAAUCGAUGGGGGGACGCAGUAGGAUAGGCGAAGCGUGCGAUUGGAUUGCACGUCUAAGCAGUAAGGCUGAGUAUUAGGCAAAUCCGGUACUCGUUAAGGCUGAGCUGUGAUGGGGAGAAGACAUUGUGUCUUCGAGUCGUUGAUUUCACACUGCCGAGAAAAGCCUCUAGAUAGAAAAUAGGUGCCCGUACCGCAAACCGACACAGGUAGUCAA